rnacentral:rRNA from 1 species
AAAACAUCUCUUUAUGAUUAUAAUUUUAAGUUGACUCUGCUCUAUGAUAUAUAUUUAAUGGCUGCAGUAUUUUGACUGUACAAAGGUAGCAUAAUAAAUUGUUUUUUAAAUGAAAACUUGAAUGAAUGAGGUGAUAAAAUAUAAACUUUAUUUAAAUAAAUAUAUGAAUUUGUCUUUUAAGUUAAAAGACUUAAAUUUAUUUAAGGGACGAGAAGACCCUAUAGAAUUUUAUAUAAUUUAAUUUAAAAUUAUUAAAUUAAAUUUAUAUUUUUUUGGGAGGAAAAUUAAAUUUUUAAACUUUAAUAAAUUAUUUACAUUUAUAAAUGGAAUAGAAUUAAUGAUUUUAAAUUAUUAAAUUUUAAAUUAAAUUACCUUAGGGAUAACAGCGUAAUAUUUUUUGAAAGUUCUUAUAGAAAAAAAUGAUU